CCUACGGGUGGCAGCAGUAGGGAAUAUUGCUCAAUGGGGGAAACCCUGAAGCAGCAACGCCGCGUGGAGGAUGAAGGUUUUCGGAUUGUCAACUCCUUUUGUUAGAGAAGAUAAUGACGGUAUCUAACGAAUAAGCACCGGCUAACUCCGUGCCAGCAGCCGCGGUAAUACGGAGGGUGCAAGCGUUACUCGGAAUCACUGGGCGUAAAGAGAGCGUAGGCGGGAUAGCAAGUCAGAUGUGAAAUCCUAUGGCUUAACCAUAGAACUGCAUUUGAAACUGUUAUUCUAGAGUAUGGGAGAGGUAGGUGGAAUUCUUGGUGUAGGGGUAAAAUCCGUAGAGAUCAAGAGGAAUACUCAGUGCGAAGGCGACCUGCUAGAACAUAACUGACGCUGAUGCGCGAAAGCGUGGGGAGCAAACAGGAUUAGAUAACCGAGUAGUC
rnacentral:rRNA from 1 species